rnacentral:rRNA from 1 species
GACGAACGCUGGCGGCGUGCUUAACACAUGCAAGUCGAACGGACAGGCCCUGCUCUUGUGGGGUGCUCGUUUGCCGCACGGGUGAGUAACACGCGAGUAUCAUGUCCCUGUCUUUGGGGUAACAUUAGGGAACUGGGGCUCAUACCGGAUAGGAGAUCCUGCUGCGUGGGGGGGGUUGGAAAGAUUCGGCGGUUUGGGAUGGUCUAGCAGCUUAUGAGCUUGUUGGUGGGGUAGUGGCAUACCAAGGCUUUGACGGGUAGCCGGCCUGAGAGGGUGACCGGCCACAUGGGGACUGAGAGACGGCGCAGACUCCUACGGUAGGCAGCAGUGGGGAACAUUGCACAGUGGGCGGACGCCUGAUGCAGCAACGCCGCGUGCGGGAUGACCUCUUUCUGGGUGUAAACCGCUGUGGCCUGUAACGAAGCGUGAGUGACGGUAAUGGGUAAAGAAGCACCGGCUAACUACGUG